CUCUCUGUACGGCGAGUGAACGGGAAUAGCCCAGCACGAAACGGCUGCCUUUUCGGCGGAUGUACUGUGGUGUUAGGGACCGUCCAAGUGCGUCGAUCGGAUCCCCUGGUUCGCUUGAACGCGGCCGGUGCCAGAGAGGGUGCCAGUCCCGUAUGCGUUCGGACGGCGCACGCGGACCCGUUCUUAUAGUCGGGUUGUUUGAGAUUGCGCCCGAGCUGGUGGUAAACUCCAUCUAAGUAAAUACUGGCACGAGUCCAUAGCGAACAAUACCGUGAGGGAAAGUUGAAAAGAACUUUGAAGAGAGAGUUCAACAUACGUGAAACCGUCCAGAAGCAACGGACAGGACCGCAUUGUUCGCGCGUCGGAUUCAUCCGUCUGCCCGGCGCUGGCGUCUCUGGAACAUCCCUCUCGGGAGCUCCGGGACGUCUGUCGCUAGGCGGCGGCCGUACUUUCUACGUGCGGAGCGCCUUUACCGGUUUGCGGGCGGCGACAACGCUCGGCUAGUGAGACGUUGCGGCGUCGGUCAUACAGGCCCGGUAUCGCCUCUCCGUCCGCGGCGAAGGAAGCCGUUAUCGGUUCGCGUCUGGCCGCUGGCCGUGCUGGGCGUCCUUGCGGGGACUGGAGUGCUCGCAGACC
rnacentral:rRNA from 1 species